AUCAUGUGUGGAUAACUAAGAAAUAAUAUUUACGAAUAGCCACAGCCUAUUAGUGUAUUAUACGCAACAAACAAACACCCCUAUAUAGAUAAUGUCAUGGAAGCCUAUCUUUGGCAAUUUUGGCCCGAUCAUAUAUAUAAAAAUAGGAUCAACAGGAGAUAAUUCUCAAAGUCAAUGAUUGUGAAUCAUUGUCAAUCUGUCAAUUCUAUCUACUUAGUAAGAUGACCAAGUCACUUUUUGCUAGGAA
rnacentral:lncRNA from 1 species